rnacentral:lncRNA from 1 species
CAUUUCUUCAUCUCUUUCUCUCUCUAGGCUGAUGGAAACCGAGCAAUUGAGGGAGGCAACAAGUUGAUGAUAAGAAGAAUUUUGUGGAGCAGCAAGGAAGGCUUUUUAAAGCUGAGAUUAAUCAAAAGAAGUAACUAAUUAAGGUGAAAUUCUUGGUUAGUUAAAUGAUUUUAGUAGCUCUAAUCAGAGUUGUAAGUAAUAAAAGGGUUGUCUUAUGUGUAGGAGCUGAAAAGAGGAUUUUAAAACAGAAAUUCUGAUUGUGAAGUUGAAGAAGCCUUGGAAAAGCUUCGAAUACAGAUUGGGGCUUCGGUUUAGGGGUAGCUUGAUGCUCGCAGGUUGCAUUAGAGAUGCCGAAGUGGAGACCCAGCUUGGUGUAGUUUAGGGGCUUGGAGUAUGUGGAAUUUGAAGCUUCAGGCUGAUUGAAGCUGCUAAGUUGAUGCUUUGAUUAAGGAAAAUUAGGAAUUAAAGUAAGUAAAUUGCUUCCCUAUUAGGCUGAGCAUAAUUGAUUGUGUGAGUUGCUUUUAACUAAGUUAAAUUGAUACGGUUAUAUAGAAAUUUCAGAAGAAGCUGAAGUAAAGAGAGAAGUAUGAAACUGCUAGUUGUUGGAACAGCAUCUAAUCAAG